rnacentral:tRNA from 1 species
ACGUUAUUAGUAUAAUAGUAAUUAUACUACUUUUCCAAAGUAGUGAUCUAAGUAUUUAGAUAACGUA